AUUGAACGCUGGCGGCAUGCCUUACACAUGCAAGUCGAACGGCAACACGGGUGCUUGCACCUGGUGGCGAGUGGCGAACGGGUGAGUAAUACAUCGGAACGUACCUUAUCGUGGGGGAUAACGCAGCGAAAGCUGUGCUAAUACCGCAUACGCCCUGAGGGGGAAAGCGGGGGAUCGAAAGACCUCGCGCGAUUAGAGCGGCCGAUGCCUGAUUAGCUUGUUGGUGGGGUAAAAGCCCACCAAGGCGACGAUCAGUAGCUGGUCUGAGAGGACGAUCAGCCACACGGGGAUUGAGACUCGGCCCAGACUACUACGGCAGGCAGCAGGGGGUAAUUUUGGACAAUGGGGGAAACCCUGAUCCAGCAAUGCCGCGUGAGUGAAGAAGGCCUUCGGGUUGUAAAGCUCUUUUGUCAGGGAAGAAACACCGGCUCUAACACAGUCCGGGAAUGACGGUACCUGAAGAAUAAGCACCGGCUAACUACGUGCCAGCAGCCGCCGUAA
rnacentral:rRNA from 1 species